CAGUAGCCGCGGUAAUACGUAGGUGGCAAGCGUUGUCCGGAAUUAUUGGGCGUAAAGGGCUCGCAGGCGGUUUCUUAAGUCUGAUGUGAAAGCCCCCGGCUCAACCGGGGAGGGUCAUUGGAAACUGGGAAACUUGAGUGGAGAAGAGGAGAGUGGAAUUCCACGUGUAGCGGUGAAAUGCGUAGAGAUGUGGAGGAACACCAGUGGCGAAGGCGACUCUCUGGUCUGUAACUGACGCUGAGGAGCGAAAGCGUGGGGAGCGAACAGGAUUAGAUACCCGCGUAGUCCCUGUCUCUUAUAC
rnacentral:rRNA from 1 species